UGGGGAAUCUUGGACAAUGGGGGCAACCCUGAUCCAGCCAUGCCGCGUGAGUGAUGAAGGCCUUAGGGUCGUAAAGCUCUUUCGCCUGUGAAGAUAAUGACGGUAGCAGGUAAAGAAACCCCGGCUAACUCCGUGCCAGCAGCCGCGGUAAUACGGAGGGGGUUAGCGUUGUUCGGAAUUACUGGGCGUAAAGCGCACGUAGGCGGACCAGAAAGUUGGGGGUGAAAUCCCGGGGGCUCAACCCCGGAACUGCCUCCAAAACUAUUGGUCUAGAGUUCGAGAGAGGUGAGUGGAAUUCCAAGUGUAGAGGUGAAAUUCGUAGAUAUUUGGAGGAACACCAGUGGCGAAGGCGGCUCACUGGCUCGAUACUGACGCUGAGGUGCGAAAGUGUGGGGAGCAAAACAGGAUUAGAUACCCUGGUAGUCCACACCGUAAAACGAUGAAUGCCAGUCGUCGGGGUAGCAUGCUAUUCGGUGACACACCUAACGGAUUAAGCAUUCCG
rnacentral:rRNA from 1 species